CCCUUAGAUGUCCGGGGCUGCACGCGCGCUACACUGAAGGAAUCAGCGUGCUAAAACCAUUGUCGAAAGGCAUUGGUAAACCCAUUAAAAUCCUACGUGAUUGGGAUCGGGAAUUGCAAUUAUUUCCCUUGAACGAGGAAUUCCCAGUAAGUGUGGGUCAUAAGCUCGCGUUGAUUACGUCCCUGCCCUUUGUACACACCGCCCGUCGCUGCCCGGGACUGAGCCGUUUCGAGAAAAGCGGGGACUGCUGCGGUCGGGGCUUUCGGGCCUUGGCUUCGGUGGAAACCGCUUUAAUCGCAGUGGCUUGAACCGGGCAAAANUCGUAACA
rnacentral:rRNA from 1 species